CCUGGUUGAUCCUGCCAGCAAUCAUAUGCUUGUCUAAAAGAUUAAGCCAUGCAUGUCUAAGUAUAAGCGAUUAUACAGCGAAACUGCGAACGGCUCAUUAUAUCAGUAAUAAUCUACUCAAUUAUAAACUUUUACUUGGAUAACUGUAGGAAUUCUAGAGCUAAUACAUGCUAAGUGGCUGGACCGGGGCAACUCGGGAAGGUCGCGCUUACUAGAGGAGAAAUGAACUGGGAGCAAUCCCAAAAUAUAAAUGAAUGAUAGUAAAAGAUGGUGAAUCGGUGGGGUGACCCCCGAUGAUCUGAACGAGUUUCUGCCCUAUCAGCUAAAUCGUAGGGUAGUGGCCUACGAUGGCGAUAACGGGUACGGGGAAUUAGGGUUCGAUUCCGUAGAGGGAGCCUGAGAUACGGCUCCCACUUCCAAGGAAGGCAGCAGGCGCGUAAAUUAUCCAAUCCCAAUACGGGGAGAUAGUGACAAGAAAUAUUGAUGUGUGGCCUUAUAGGUUGCACGAUUAAAAUGAGAACAAUUUAAAAAACUUAACGAAACAACUGGAGGGCAAGUCUGGUGCCAGCAGCCGCGGUAAUUCCAGCUCCAGUAGUGUAUAUUAAAGUUGUUGCGGUUAAAAAGCUCGUAGUUGGACUGAAUCUAAAAGGUUUGUCGACUCCCUCGUCUACGGACUUGGGGUUAAAGUUGGGAUUCCUAUUGAUGAAUGGGGACAUCACCCGCAAGGGCGUUUCCAGAUUUUACUUUGAAUUAAGGAGAGUGUUUAAAACAGGCGAAUGCCUUGAAUAAUUUAGCAUGGGAUAAUAAAAUAUGACUUUGGUCUAAACUUGUUGGUUUCUAAGGCCUUAGUAAUGAUUGAUAGGGACAGUUGAGGUCGCUUGUAUUCAGGGGCGAGAGGUGAAAUUCUAUGACCCUUUGAGGACAAACAAAUGCGAAGGCAUUCGACAAGGAUGUUUUCAUUAAUCAAGAACGAAAGUUAUGGGAGCGAAGAUGAUCAGAUACCGUCGUAGUCAUAACUGUAAACUAUGUUGACUCGGGAUCGGGGGAUGUUACAUGGAUGACUCUCCCGGCACCGAAUGCGAAAGCAAAGUAUCCAAACUCCGGGGGGAGUAUGGUCGCAAGGCUGAAACUUAAAGGAAUUGACGGAAGGGCACCACCAGGAGUGGAACCUGCGGCUUAAUUUGACCCAACACGGGAAAACUCACCCAGUCCAGACGCAACGAGGAUUGACAGAUUGAUAGCUCUUUCUUGAUUUUGUGGAAGCCGGUGCAUGGCCGUUUUUAGUUGGUGGAGUGAUUUGUCUGGUUAAGUCCGAUAACGAACGAGACCUUCUUUUAUUAAAUAGGAGCUUAAAUAAGGGGACCUUUGGAGGUGCAGGGGCAACUCUGUGCUUUCUGGGUUCUCAUAAAUUAUAAAAGUAUACUUCUUAGAAAGACUGUUGGCGUCUAUAAAGGCCAAAGGAAGAUUGAGGCAAAAACAGGUCUGUGAUGCCGCUCGAUGUCUGGGGCUGCACGCGCGUUACACUGAGAUGAGCAACGAGUAUUAAACAAGGCUGAAGAGCCGAGAGAAUCUAAAAAACAUCCCGUGAUGGGGAUUGUAUAUUGAAACUAUUAC
rnacentral:rRNA from 1 species